rnacentral:ncRNA from 2 species
AAAAAUAUAAUGUAGAGAGGUGCCUUGGCAUGAUUUAUAGCCAAGGAUAAUAGGGAAAUGGGUGAAAAAUCCCAUGCGGUCCCGCCGCUGUAAUGGAAGAGCAUACUUCACUUACGAAUGUAGGACAUGUCACUGAGUAAUCGGGAAGACUGUAGUAUGUGCUGAAGCCAAAGCCAGAAGACCUGCCUCACUAUAAGAAAUAAC